rnacentral:rRNA from 1 species
GACGUAGGGGGCGAGCGUUGUUCGGAAUCACUGGGCGUAAAGCGCACGUAGGCGGAUGUGUCAGUCAGGGGUGAAAUCCCGGAGCUCAACUUCGGAACUGCCUUUGAUACAGCACGUCUUGAGUCCGAUAGAGGUGGGUGGAAUUCCUAGUGUAGAGGUGAAAUUCGUAGAUAUUAGGAAGAACACCGGUGGCGAAGGCGGCCCACUGGAUCGGUACUGACGCUGAGGUGCGAAAGCGUGGGGAGCGAACAGG